CUUUUGGCUCAUUGUGAAGUGUACAUGUCAAUGAUAGGAAAACACUUUAAUCAACAUUUGUGAUAAUUUUGUGGUGUAGAUAUUGGUAUACUUUCUAGGAAAUUAAAGAGAAGAUCAUUGGGCUUCUUGGCAAUAAAUAAAGUUGCUGCCCUACGAACAAAAACUGGGGGCCCUAAAGAACAGGGUCGCCCGUGCUUUUAAUUUGAAAAGGAGUAAAAACUUCAUUAUGCUCGACGAGCAUAAAAAAAAUUAUACAAAGUAAGGUAAUUGUUAUUACAUUUUCAACUUUAAGAAUGUCAAAUAGUGCACAUGCUUUCCAAACUCCUCUAGUGGCGUUUCUUGCUUUCUCUAUCUGUAGUAUUGGGUUAUCAAUUACUAAUACUAAGUCUUUAACUCAAUAUGUAGUUUUUUCGAUGUUUAUUAUUUCACUUGUUAGUGUGACGAAUCUCACUUAUAAUGACAUAGCUAAUCUGAUGUUGAGUCUUUGAUUGAACAAGAAAAUCAAAAAAGCAAAGUUUUUCAGAUGUGUCUCUUUCCAAUAUUUAUUUUCAGUAAUUCUGUCCUUAUUUCUAUUUAAUUUCUUUUUCAGACCAGGGAUGACGAUAUACGUAAAAUUAAUCAGAAAAGGCAAAGAAGGCAAAGAAAAGGCAAAGAAGGCAAAAAAAAGGCAAAGAAGGCAAAAAAAGGCAAAGAAGGCAAAAAAAAGGCAAAGAAGGGGGAGUCCGGUAGGGACACACACAGGUCUGGCCACUACCAUAAUUAUAGUGGCCAGCACCAAAGUUUUAAUAUUUAUUAUAAAUAGUUGUAGUUGUUGUUGUUGAUAUUAGAGUGUUGAUAUUAGAGUGUUGUUUGGUUUUAGAUUGUUGUUAAAUUAAAAAAAGGAAAAAAUCAAUCUGAAUGUCUUCUCUCUCUCUGUUAAUCUACGUAUGCAUAAAGACCUGACAUGGCUGUUGAUAGUUGAUUAGAUAAUUUGUGGCUUUUUGUUAGGCUUGAAAAAAGGGAAUCUAAGAGGUUAUAUUGUGGUUAGUUUUUAGAUUAGGCGUGGCUGUGAAUUCAUUGUUACAUGAAAGUAAAAAAAAUUAGGACAUUCAAUAAAUUUUUCAUAAAGUGUAAAUAGCACAACGAAACCAAUUGUACCAAAUCAAAUAUAUUCCUUGUGGCUUUACUUAAUGAAAUUAUGUUUUCAAGGUGUUUUACAUUAUUGUUGCCGUUGUUUUUCUAGACCCCCCCCCC